GACGACGGGUAGCCGGCCUGAGAGGGCGACCGGCCACACUGGGACUGAGACACGGCCCAGACUCCUACGGGAGGCAGCAGUGGGGAAUAUUGCACAAUGGGCGAAAGCCUGAUGCAGCGACGCCGCGUGAGGGAUGAAGGCCUUCGGGUUGUAAACCUCUUUCAGCAGGGAAGAAGCGCAAGUGACGGUACCUGCAGAAGAAGCGCCGGCUAACUACGUGCCAGCAGCCGCGGUAAUACGUAGGGCGCAAGCGUUGUCCGGAAUUAUUGGGCGUAAAGAGCUCGUAGGCGGUUUGUCGCGUCUGGUGUGAAAACUCGAGGCUCAACCUCGAGCUUGCAUCGGGUACGGGCAGACUAGAGUGCGGUAGGGGAGACUGGAAUUCCUGGUGUAGCGGUGGAAUGCGCAGAUAUCAGGAGGAACACCGAUGGCGAAGGCAGGUCUCUGGGCCGCAACUGACGCUGAGGAGCGAAAGCAUGGGGAGCGAACAGGAUUAGAUACCCUGGUAGUCCAUGCCGUAAACGUUGGGCACUAGGUGUGGGGCUCAUUCCACGAGUUCCGUGCCGCAGCAAACGCAUUAAGUGCCCCGCCUGGGGAGUACGGCCGCAAGGCUAAAACUCAAAGGAAUUGACGGGGGCCCGCACAAGCGGCGGAGCAUGCGGAUUAAUUCGAUGCAACGCGAAGAACCUUACCAAGGCUUGACAUGCACGAGAAGCCACCAGAGAUGGUGGUCUCUUUGGACACUCGUGCACAGGUGGUGCAUGGUUGUCGUCAGCUCGUGUCGUGAGAUGUUGGGUUAAGUCCCGCAACGAGCGCAACCCUCGUCCCAUGUUGCCAGCGGGUUAUGCCGGGGACUCAUGGGAGACUGCCGGGGUCAACUCGGAGGAAGGUGGGGAUGACGUCAAAUCAUCAUGCCCCUUAUGUCUUGGGCUUCACGCAUGCUACAAUGGCCGGUACAAAGGGCUGCGAUACCGUAAGGUGGAGCGAAUCCCAAAAAGCCGGUCUCAGUUCGGAUUGGGGUCUGCAACUCGACCCCAUGAAGUCGGAGUCGCUAGUAAUCGCAGAUCAGCAACGCUGCGGUGAAUACGUUCCCGGGCCUUGUACACACCGCCCGUCAAGUCACGAAAGUCGGUAACACCCGAAGCCCAUGGCCCAACCGUUCGCGGGGGGAGUGGUCGA
rnacentral:rRNA from 1 species